CACGUUAGCAAGCUAGCGUUUAGAUAACAUCUAUUAACUAAGUCCUGUCUGAAACGCGAAUUAAACACUACGUGGGGACCUGAGCCCUAGGACCAUGCCUCAGGACUACCUGGCCUGAUGACUCCUUGUUGUCCACAGUCCACCUGGUCAUGCUGCUGCUCCAGUUUCAACUGUUGGCACUGCCUGCCUGUACACUGCCUGUGCCUAUGGAACCCUGACCUGUUCACCGGACGUGCUACCUUGUCCCGGACCUGCUGUUUUCAACUCUCUCUCUCUCUACCGCAUCUGUUGUCUCUUAACUCUGAAUGAUAAAAAGCAAACUGACAUUUACUCCUGAGGUGCUGACCUGUUGCACCCUCUACAACCACUGUGAUUAUUAUUUUCUGAUCCUGCUGGUCAUCUAUGAACGUUUGAACAUCAUCUUGGCCAUAUUCUGUUAUAAUCUCCACCCGGCACAGCCAGAAGAGGACUGACCUCAGAGCCUGUUUCCUCUCUAGGUUUCUUCCUAAGAUCCGGCCUUUCUAGUGAGUUUUUCCUAGCCACCGUGCUUCUACAUAUGCAUUGCUUGCUGUUUGGAGUUUUAGGCUGGGUUUCUGUACAGCACUUUGUGACGUUGGCUGGUGUAAAAAGGGCUUAAUAAAUACAUUAGAUUGAUUGAA